ACCCAAUUUAAGUUGAAUGAUUCUGGCUGCAAUAAAACGGUUCGAUUCUGAUUUAGUUUAAACAUUCAGGGUUCUGCCAUCUUUCAGACGUUAGCAGAGCCAUCAAAGGUCUGAGAUGGUUUCCAAAACAUCUGAAGGUCUGUUUUCCACUCAGCUGCACACAAAGUCUUUCCAAGGUUGUUUUAAAUGAAGUUCAUGUUGAUUUUGCACCAACUUUCCUCCUAAACAGAUACAAUCCAUCCAAGUUGCCUUUAUAAACUUAACUUUGUGUGUUUUCUAAUCACAUCUUCUGGAUGUAGAUAAAGACCAGCAACACUUAAAGCUACAAAAGCAGCUUUCCAUUAACGCUCAGAGCAGAACCGGGUCUCACAGAGAGGCCAGGACGCUCCGAACGGACCAACAGCUCUUGCUCUGCAGACUGGGGACAGUUAAUAGACUCGUGCUCAGAAGGUUGGUGCUUUGGGCCAGAAGAAACAGACUUCUCCUCCCUCAGAGAGCUUAAUGAGAUCAAACAGUUAAGACCCAGCUGAGGAUAAUUAGUGCCGAGCUGUAAUUAGCAUGAGAAUGGUUGAACUAACAGAAGACGGGGGCAGCUGGCAGCCUGAUCUGCUUAAAUGCUCCUCAGCAAGAAGAGCAAUUAAAGAAAACGGUCAUUAAUUAGCAGAAAACAGAUUCCCUAGUUUGCAUGAAAAGAGGUGAAGAACAGAGACUUGAUGAGGCUGGAGGGACGACCUCGUUACAGCCUGCUUCAGACGAGCUGCUUUUACAAAUGAAGAAAGCUCCACUGCAGGGAUCUGAGAGCCCAGCAGGAACAGGAACCUGAAACAACUCAAACAGCUGGCUGACCAUCUUCUGACCGCCUCAUCCAGUCAUCAAUCAGAGGUUCAGAUGUGUUGCCAUGGCAAUAGGUGCUCGUUUCUUGGUUUGUUGAUGGAAAGAUAAAAACCAGUUUCUUCAGCUUUCCAUGAAUUUAGGCAGCAUGUUCAGAAUCCAAGGAACAGUUUUCCUUUGUAUACAGAGUUUCAUGUCUUUAACAACCUUCCUGGAGCCUGGACUUCUUCUCUCGUUUGUUGAAGAUGAUUCAUCCACAAGGCUUCUUCUCAUCCUCCGUUGGAUGAGAGGUCAAACACCUUCCAGAAGGAGAUAGUACUCCAGCUGCCUUCGUCCAAACAGCAAGCCUUGUCAUGUCCUGGACGUCUGAGAACCCACACCAGCCUUCUAGAACCUUCUCACAUGCUCCAACCUGGUGCUGAUCUGCAGAACUCAAGGUCCAGUUCCAGCAAAAGACUGCCACCAUUAUAAUUUAUGCUGCCAUGAUCAUAUUAGUGAUUCUUCUCUGAUAAAUUAGUUAGAUAAUGAAAACAAAUAGUUUCUCAAAUGUAAAGAAGGAAAAAACUGAAAAACAUUCCUGAGUUUCCUGGUUUAAUAAACUAUUUCAGUUCAACACGCCUCACUUCAAAGAUCCCAAAACCAGAAAUCUUUCACUGUUUUUGUGGAUUUUUAUCUCAGUCGAUUGGAUGUGUCCAAGGGAUUUAUUUACAUUUCUUUCUUCCAACUACUUCCUGGACAGAUUUUGGGCUAAUUGAAUGAAAUAAGAUCUGAUUUCAUAUGACAGAUGUCAGAAACCAAAGUCUUGGGUUUAAUCUGUGAUUCUGCUCCAAAAACACUAAAAUAUGGAAUGAAACUGGAAUAAUAAUAAAAGUUUUAAGCUGAAGUUCUA